UAAAAUUGGUCAAAGACGAAAGAGAACACCAGAGAAACACCUCAGCGAAGCAGUCAGUGAAUGGGAAAUAGACAAAUAGAUUGUUUUUAUAUUUACUUCUAAUGUGAUGUAGGCUAAGCAACAAACAUUUAUCCCAUAAAUCAAUCCCCUUAAAUUCAUUUUUGUUUCGUGAACCUCUACGCCAGAAGAACAGUGGGCAGUGGAUCAAACCCCUUCAACAGUGUUCAUUUACCAGAGGAAACAAGCCCAUCUCAUCUGAACCUGAACAGGCUGUUAAUAUUCCUCUAUUACCUGGGUCUAUAGCCUCGGUCCCCUGGUGCUGCUGGGCCCCAUGCCAGCCAUCUGUUCCAGCAGGCACGGUUGUGCUGGGCUCAUCUGCAGCUAAGGCCAGUAGCAGGUGAUCUCCCAUUGUGUAAUGGAUGAGGCCUUCCCGCUGGAAGAGAGGGCAGCUGCCAGAGUGAUACUCAGAUUUAUUUAGAGAUGUUCAUUCCCACACAUUCUCCAGAGACUUGAAUGAUUUAACACACAACAAACAAUAUGAGCUCAUGUAGAAAACCAAAACAUUUAAAGGAUUUUAUCACAUCAUUAUUGUAUGAUCAUACAUAUGACCUGCAUAUUCUGUACCUAGGCUAGCCAUACACAUACUGUAUAGAUACUGUAUGACACCUCUAUAAGCGGAUAAAACAUGUUCUGACAUGUUGUCCAUCUUUAAAAGUCCUAAAGUAUACUUCUUUCUCAAUAAGCAUCUUCCACAGAAGAAUCUCUGCAAAUACUGUCUGUGAUUGAUGAUAUACUCCUCUGUAACCCCUCUCUGACUUAUUUCUCUGAGAGGUUGUAUUCUUUAUUCUAGGUCUCCGGGGUUGCCUCUACAGUGAAGCACAGGCUAAUAUGAGCUGCAGCGCAAGCCUAGCUAGCUGUGCCCAGUCAUCAUCCUGAAAGGAGGUUAAUGUGGUGUGGCUGUGAGUUACUUCCAGUUCCCCUGCCUCUCAUCCGCCUGCCUGCCUACUCACUGCCAUGUAAUUGUGUUAUUACGUCGUAGGAUUGUCAGAGGACUCCUGGGCCCCAGUGAAGAUGUCUGAGCACGGAGCAGCAGUGCCUGUGGAAGUUAACUUGACAUAUAAAUUGCUAUCUGACUACCGGGAGAUAGAUAAAUGCAUCUCGCCAGAGAACAGAUGCAGGGAGCAGUGACCUGACAUCGCUUUUGACAGACUCUAUGUCGUCUCUUUCGCUUCCCCCCUCGUUUUCUUGCUGUCUCUCUGUUCACUUUGUCAGCUGCUGUUUCUUCCUUUGAUAUCUUUACUACAAGAGUUGCCACUGAUGGAACAGUCUGAACCAUGUUUGCCAUGGGCUUACUGGGCUUUGUAGGAGUAGAGACAGGUUGGGGACAGUUGGUUAUGCAUUGUGGUGAAGUGACUCAUGUUGUUGAGGUCACAAGUCAGGUCACAAACGUCAUUAUGAAUAUUUUGGUCAAAUGCAUAUUGAAUUAGCCUGGUCUCUUUGUGCUGUUUUGCCAACGCAUAUGAUGGGACUAAGCUAAUGGUGUAUAACUUUCCCAGAUGCUUAGCAAUGACCUCGCAGUAAGAAAAGGAACCAUCAGAUUACAGUUACAUUGCAUUCAGAAAGUAUUCAGACCCCUUGACUUUUUCCACAUUUUGUUACAUUACAGCCUUAAUUCUAAAAUUGAUUAUAUCUUUUUUUUCCCUCACCAAUCUACACACAAUACCCCAUAAUGACAAAGCAAAAACAGGUUUUUUGACAUUUGUACAAAUGUAUAUAAAAAACAGAAAUAUCACAUUUACAUAAGUAUUCAGACCCUCUACUCAAUACUUUGUUGAAGCACCUUUGUCAGUGAUUACAGCCGCGAGCUGAUCAUGGACUACAGGAAAAGGCGGGCCGAACAGGCCCCCAUUAACAUCAAUGGGGCUGUAGUGGAGCGGGUCGAGAGUUUCAAGUUCCUUGGUGUCCACAUCACCAACAAACUAUCAUGGUCCAAACACCCCAAGACAGUUGUGAAGAGGGCACAACAAUCCUUUUCUCCCUCAGCUGACUGAAAGGAUUUGGCAUGGGUCCCCAGAUCGUCAAAAAUUUCUACAGCUGCACCAUCGGGAGCAUCCUGACCGGUUGUAUCACCGCCUGGUAUGGCAAAUGCUCGGCAUCUGACCGUAAGACACUUCAGAGGGUAGUGCGUAAGGCCCAAUACAUCACCGUGGCCAAGCUUCCUGCAAUCCAGGACCUAUAAAAUAGGCAGUGUCAGAGGAAAGCCCAUAAAAUUGUCAGACUCCAGUCAAGUUUUCUCUUCUACCUCACUGCAAGCGGUACCGGAGCGCCAACUCUAGGACCAAAAGGCUCCUCAACAGCUUCUAACCCCAAGCCAUAAGACUGCUGAACAAUUAAUCAAAUGGCCACCGGACUAUUAAAUUGACCCACCCCCUCCAUUUGUUUUGUACACUGCUGCUACUCACUGUUUAUUAUCUACGCAUAGUCAUUUCACCCAUACCUACAUGUACAAAUUACCUCAACUAACCUGUACCCCCGCACACUGACUCGGUACUGGUACCCCCUGUAUAUAGCCUCGUUAUUGUUAUGUUAUUGUGUUACUUUUUAUUAUUUUAAUUUUUUUACUUUAGUUUAUUUGGUAAAUAUUUUCUUAACUCUUCUUGAACUACACUGUUGGUUAAGGGCUUGUAAGUAAGCAUUUCACGGUAAGGUCUACACUUGUUGUAUUCUGCGCAUGUGACAAAUAAAGUUAGAUUUGAUUUGAA